GACGAACGCUGGCGGCGUGCCUAAUACAUGCAAGUAGGACGCAGUUGCGAACGGGUGAGUAACGCGUAGGUAACUACCUAUUAGAGGGGGAUAACUAUUGGAAACGAUAGCUAAUACCGCAUACUAGUAGAUGGACCUGCGUUGUAUUAGCUAGUAGGUAGGGUAAUGGCCUACCUAGGCAACGGUACCUAGCAGACCUGGGAGGGUGGUCGGGCACCCGGGGACUGGGACACGGCCCAAACUCCGUAGGGAGGGAGCAGGAGGGAAUCGUCGGCAAUGGGGGGAACCCUGAACGAGCAACGCCGCGGGAGUGAAGAAGGUUUUCGGAUCGUAAAGCUCUGUUGUUAAGGAAGCGGUACUUAACCAGAAAGGGACGGCUAACUACGUGCCAGCAGCCGCGGUAAUAC
rnacentral:rRNA from 1 species